AUGUACACUUGUCAGGGCCAGUUUACUCAAUCUCUACUUACAAUUUUCAAAUAAAAACAACUUAGGAGGUGUACUUAUUUCUUGAAUUUUUGUAGAUCAAGAUAGGUUUAUUGACGCGAUUUCACAAUCAGAUUAUUAAAACUAAAGUAUACCUAUAAGUAAUCCUCGUUAAAAUAUUUUUAAAAUAAAGUACGUGCUACAUUAGGUAAAGAUAACAUGACAAAUAUUUAAGAAUCCUCUAAUUCAUAUCUUCUCCAUCCUUUUAUUCAUAAUCUAAACAAUCCAAUAAAAGAUAAACAAGAAAUCAAAGUAGUACUUUAAAAUAUCUUAAAAUUAUCCUCACAAAGUUCACUUGGAUAUUUAAUCAAAAUUGACUCUUCAAAAGGCCAAUAUUUUGGUAUGGAGAAAAUGUCUUCUCCUUCAAAGAAUAUUUAUCCAAUUACUGAAAAACAGAGCUAAUAUAAUUUUGCUCUUUUGUUAACGAAUUGCUCCAGAGAAAUGGCUAAUUACUCUAAGGCUCAUAUUUGCCAGUGCUUGAACCGGCUGUUGACGGUUCGCCGGAGCUCAACGGUGAUGAUAAUGGGAGAGAGGAAGAAGACCGGCAUGGAAUUUGUUGAGGGAGUUUUGGGCCUGGCCCAUGGGCUUAUUCACUUGGGCCUUAAGCCCGGUGAUGUCGUCGCCAUUUCCGCUCUUAACAGUGAUCUGUAUUUGGAGUGGUUACUGGCAGUUGCGUGUGUAGGAGGAAUUACUGCACCUUUCAAUUACCGUUGGAGCCUGGAAGAAGCAAGAGCAGCUCUUCAAGUAGCAAAGCCAGCGAUAUUGGUCCGCGAUGCAAACUGUAAUUCCUGGAACUUCGAGUCCUUUGCCAAUUCUGUUCCUUCUCUGAGGUGGCAAGUCUUAAUGGAUACUCCUACUGAAGUUAAUAACACUAAGAUUGGAUUAACUACUGAACAGCUGGAAAGAAGUUGCAACAGGCAUUUAACAGCAGACUACCAAUGGGCACCUCAGGAAGUAGCUAUGAUAUGCUUUACCUCAGGAACCACAGGGAGGCCAAAGGGAGUUACUAUAAGCCACUCAGCUUUGGUGGUGCAAUCCCUUGCAAAAAUUGCAAUUGUUGGUUACGGUGAGGAUGAUGUGUAUUUACACACUGCACCACUGUGCCACAUUGGUGGUAUAUCAUCAGCCUUGGCCAUGUUCAUGGCAGGAGGUUGUCAUAUUUUACUACCAAAGUUUGAAGCUAAAUUGGCUGUUGAAUCCAUAGACAAGCAUAACGUCACUUCUUUUAUUACAGUUCCAGCUAUGAUGGCUGAUCUAAUCUCUUUUUAUAGGACAAAUCACACAUCGCUAGAGUCCAAAUCUGUGAAGAAGGUUCUUAAUGGAGCUGGCAGUCUUUCAUCUGAUCUCAUCAAAAAUGCGAUUGAGAUAUUCCCGAGGGCUAAACUUCUUUCAGCUUACGGAAUGACCGAGGCAUGUUCUUCUCUGACUUUCAUGACUCUUUAUGAUCCGGUAAGAGAGAGUUUUAGCCGGCAUUCUUAUGCCAACAGCUCCAAUUUAGCACAUAAACCAGAUGGUAUCUGUGUUGGAAAGCCUGCUCCACAUAUUGAAAUAAGGAUCGCUGGGGACGAUUCGUCUUGUAUAGGGAGGAUUUUGACACGAGGUCCACAUGUAAUGCUCGGAUACUGGGGUCAAAUGCCAGGCAAUAAUUCUUCUUCAACUGGUGAAUGUUGGCUUGACACUGGUGAUAUAGGGCAUAUAGAUGAUUGUGGAAAUAUCUGGCUCAUUGGGCGCUUGAAGGGUCGAAUAAAAAGUGGGGGCGAAAAUGUUUAUCCUGAAGAGGUGGAAGCUGUCUUAUUGCAACAUCCAGGGAUUUCUGCCAGUGUUGUUAUUGGGCUUCCUGACUCUCGCUUAACUGAGAUGGUCGUUGCCUGUGUUAGGCUGAAAGACAAUUGGCAGUGGACUGAUUCAAGCUCUAAUUAUCCAGUUAACAAAAAUGAGCAUCGUUUGUCCAGUACUGUCCUCCAGAACUUCUGUAGAGUGAAAGAUUUGACAGGGUUCAAAAUACCCAAGAAUUUUGUGGUGUGGAAAAAUCAAUUUCCAGUUACAACAACAGGGAAAUUAAGAAGAGAUCAAGUGAGAGCAGAACUUAUGUCUUAUAGGCAGUUACCGCCCAGCAGACUAUGACUCCCACCAUAUUCUUUUCUUGCAUUUGUUUGAACGGCUAACUACUUGAUUUUUGACAAGUCUGCUCUCACCUCAAGCCAUGAUAUCAUAGUGUUGAAAACAAGCUCCACAGUUUCAUUUGGUUCACCUAUCAAUUGAUGCCACAUUCCUGGGUAAAUCUGCAUAGUCUUAUCCUUACUCCCUGCCGAUUCAUACACAAAUUUAGCAGCUUCAGGAUCACAUACCUUAUCAUCCCCACCUUGAAGAAUCAGCAAAGGAACUUCUAGUUCAUGAGAUUUCCUUUGUACAUACUCAGUGACUUUCAGAAGUUCUAAUGCAGUGGCAGCUGGUGGCUUCUUCUCGGAAGCCAAGCGAUUCGGACUUUUUGAGACCAUCUUUCUCUUCCACCCCUCCUUGUAUGAUAUAGAUGCAGGUGGUUUGGUGAUCACAAUCCUCCAAGUUGGUGCUAUGAACGCGGCUAAUGGUAGUAGCUUCUCCAGUGGCCAAACAGGAAAGCCGGAAGCUUUGGGUGAUCAGCACGAGCAGCAUCGAAGUACUGUAUGCAGUCUUGGACUAAAGGUUGAAUACUUGGUAUGUAACCAGGUGAGCCUUCUGAGUAACCAUGACCUUGUAGGUCAAUAGCACAGACGAAAAAUCCUGCUUUCGCUAUGGCUACUGCAUUUAGCUCAAAAAGCCAGCUGCUUUCGGACGUAUAACCAUGAAUCAUGCCCACAAGGCCUCUUAACUGAUUACUUGAUUCAUGCUGCCAAGAUUGUGUGAAUAUCUUCAUGUUUUGUUUGUUUAACAUGAAACUUUGUUUGUGCAUGAUUUUGUGUUGCUUGUAAAACUCUUCUCUUGUCAAGUUUCCAUAUGGGCUAUUCUCAUUAGAUUGGAAAAUUGGGUGAGACAUUGUAUACUGGUGAGUUUGUUUUGUG